AUGAAAAUACUACUGAUGUUGUACAUUAGUAAUUUCUUACUGGGUUUUCAUGAAAAUACUACCAUGAGGUCAUAAUAAUUCUGUUUCUGAGUAGUAAUAUUUGAGUUAGUCCUUUGUGAAGUCAUGGGAAUGCUGCACUGAUAUCAUAGUCAUAUGGGCAGCCUCCAUCCACACAUCACAGUGCUGGAAAACCAUCCCUACUGCUGGCCCGUUCUGCUGCUGGAGAUUGAUGACUUCAUCCAGUGGACCGCUGACAGCUCUACCUGUACUGUGAGCUCCAGCAAGGGGACCACACCCAGAACCAGAACCAAGAAAAGAAAGAAGACCAGGAAAAGGAAGAGGACCCGGGACAGAGCCCUGUGGUACGCCACAGAAUAG